UACGUGGGGUGCGAGCGUUGUCCGGAUUCCCUGGGCGUAAAGGGCGCGUAGGCGGCAAUUCAAGUCAGUUGUGAAAUCUCCGAGCUUAACUCGGAACGGGCAACUGAUACUGUUUUGCUAGAGUACAGAAGGGGCAAUCGGAAUUCUUGGUGUAGCGGUGAAAUGCGUAGAUAUCAAGAGGAACACCUGAGGUGAAGACGGGUUGCUGGGCUGAUACUGACGCUGAGGCGCGAAAGCUAGGGUAGCAAACGGG
rnacentral:rRNA from 1 species